GCUGGAUUGCAUCCUUUGUUCCGGCUGAGUGAUAUGCCAUUGUGUGGCUCUAGCCCAUCUUCCUUCUGCAUUCGUCCCUUGCUGGGCACCAGGGUUGCUUCCAAAUCUUGGAGAGCGGGAGUAAGGCUGUGCUGAACUCAGCGGUGCACAUGUCUUUAGGCAGUAGUUUUUCCGAGUUCUUCGGAUAAACACGACACAGAGGAAUAGCUGGAUCAUAGGGGACAUGGAUUCUUAAAUUUCUGAGGCGGUUCCACACGGCUUGGCAUAGUGGCUGCACCGGUUUACACUCCCACCAGCAGUGCAGGAGGCUUCCCUUCUUCGACCUCCUCUCUGAAACUUGUUGUUUCCUGUCUGGUUCCUUAUAGCCAUUCUGACCACAGUGAUCUGCUAUGUCCUUGCAGUUUGGAUUUGCAUUGGCCUGAGACUUAAUGGUGGUGAACAAGUUUUCAUGCAACUGUUGGCCCUCUUUAGAUCUUCUUGGGAGAAAUCUCUGUUUCCAUCUUUUGCCCAGGUUUUCAUUGGCUUGUUGUCUUUUUUCUUGUGGAGACUUGUGAGUUGAUUGUAUCUUUGGGCUUUUCAGCCCUUGUCCGAUGUGUGCUUUGCAAACAUCCUCUCCCAGUUGUUGUGGGGUCUUUGCAAUGAGUCGAUGGUUUCAUUGACUGGGCAGAAUCGUCUGCAUUUGAUGUGAUCCCGUUUGUUUCUUGUUUCCUUUGUUGCCCUUACCCAGUCAGACAUGCUUCUUCCAAAUAGGAUGCUCAGAGAGAUGGCAAAGAGCACUCUGCCUAGGUCUUCUCCUACAAGGUUCAAGGUCUCAAGUCUGCCAUUCAAGGCUUUAAUCCAUUUCGAGGUGGCAUGUGUGGCAGGUGUAACAUCAUGGUCUACUCUCGUUGUGUGCCAUGUGGCUGUGCAGGCUUCCCAGCACAGUUUCUUGUAGAGACUCUCCUUUCUCCACUGUCUCCUCUUGGCUCCCUGGUCGAAAAUGGGCUGUCCAUGUACGUUUGAGUUGGGCUCUGGGCUCUCGAUUCUCUUGCAUGGGUCUGUGUGCCAGUUUUUGGGCCCAGACUGUGCUGUUUUGGUUCCUAGUGCUUCGUCCUAUAUGUUGAAAUCAGAAAGUGUGAUACGUCCUGCUUUGUUCGUUUUCCCGAGGAUUCCUUUGCCAAUUCAGGGUCUCUUGUUGCCUCCUAGAAACUUUACGAUUCUCUCUUCUAUCUCUGUGGCACAUAUUGCUGCAACUUUGGGAUUGCAUGGAAUCCAGAGAUUCCUUUCUCCGGUAUGGACGUUUCAAGUGUGUUAUUUCUUCCAUGCCUAGAUCCCGGAAUAUCCUUCUUUAACCUUGUGUCUUCUUGAAUUUCUUUCCCCAAACGUUUGCUAAUUUCCGAUUGCCAUAGCUUUCACCUGUUUUGCUAAGGUUCUUCAUAGAGAUCUUAUUCUUCUCACUGGCAAGCUCUGUUUUUUUUUUUUUUUAGAUUCAGUUUUUCUAUUCUUUGCAAAAUUUAAUUUGGUUUUGUUUUGGCAGAAGUGCAUCGCUGAGCUCACAUCUGCUGGCAAUGCUCCUGUAUUUGCUGUGGAAGUCUGGCCCUGUCUAACGUCCCUGCCCAUCUGCCUCUACACUACCUCGGACGCCUGCUCCAGAAUGACUG
rnacentral:lncRNA from 1 species